AUUUCCUCUCUGUAAACAGACAGGAAAUCGUCUCAUCUUGCGUGUCGGUUCUGCCGGUGUGUUAACUCGCACCUCUACUAGCUUCACUGACUCAUUAGUGACAGCACCAGGCGGCUCUGCUGAGCUACGUUAAAGCCAAGUUAGCUUGAUUCCUGUUAUGCGUUGCUAUGGAAACAACACCUCGUUAGCACGACUGCAUGGAUUAUGAACCCGUCGUUCACGUUACGGCCGGAGUUACAGCCAGUGCUGCUGCCGCUACAGGAAAUAAAGCUUCAGAUUUGAGAAUUUA